rnacentral:misc_RNA from 1 species
AAAAUUCCAGAAUUCAGAGUAGCAUCCACAACAAGUAAAACAUAUUCCUCUAAGUUAGAGGAGUCAACCGUUUUUGCAUCAGAUGCAGAACUAAGGACAUAAUCUGGAUAGCCAGGAAGAGUAUAGUCAAGACAAAGAUCACCAAUUUUUGUAUUCCGGAAAUUAAGUUCUAGGUCUAACGAUGAUUUUCCCUCAGGAUGUGAUUCCAGAUGUCUUUUUCUUUCAACAAGAGCCUGAAAUUCUAGGAGAACUCCACCAAGUUCAGGGUCAAAUGACUGGAUGUCAUACACAGUGAGUUCCUUCCCAAGAAGAAGCUUGUAAAAUGCUCUGGAUAACCGAAGAUCUAGAACCCUGCCAUCUUGAAGAGACUUUGCAACUAUCUGGCCCAGAAGCACAAACUUUUUCAGCACUUCAGA